UUUCCCUUUUUUUCUUUUUCCUUCUUUUUCCUUUUCUUAUUGUUAUAUCAUGUCUCUUAUGCAAGAAAAGGAGAAAGGUCC
rnacentral:ribozyme from 21 species